rnacentral:rRNA from 1 species
AGUGAACGCUGGCGGUAGGCCUAACACAUGCAAGCCGAACGGCAGCACAGUAAGAGCUUGCUCUUACGGGUGGCGAGUGGCGGACGGGUGAGGAAUACAUCGGAAUCUACUUUCUCGUGGGGGAUAACGUAGGGAAACUUACGCUAAUACCGCAUACGACCUACGGGUGAAAGCAGGGGAUCUUCGGACCUUGCGCGAUUGAAUGAGCCGAUGUCGGAUUAGCUAGUUGGCGGGGUAAAGGCCCACCAAGGCGACGAUCCGUAGCUGGUCUGAGAGGAUGAUCAGCCACACUGGAACUGAGACACGGUCCAGACUCCUACGGGAGGCAGCAGUGGGGAAUAUUGGACAAUGGGCGCAAGCCUGAUCCAGCCAUACCGCGUGGGUGAAGAAGGCCUUCGGGUUGUAAAGCCCUUUUGUUGGGAAAGAAAAGCAGCAGGUUAAUACCCCGCUGUUCUGACGGUACCCAAAGAAUAAGCACCGGCUAACUUCGUG